rnacentral:rRNA from 1 species
UACGUAGGGUGCAAGCGUUGUCCGGAAUUAUUGGGCGUAAAGAGCUCGUAGGCGGUCUGUCACGUCGGCUGUGAAAACCCGAGGCUCAACCUCGGGCCUGCAGUCGAUACGGGCAGACUAGAGUUCGGUAGGGGAGACUGGAAUUCCUGGUGUAGCGGUGAAAUGCGCAGAUAUCAGGAAGAACACCCGUGGCUAAGGCGGCUCUCUAGUACGGUACUGACGCUGAGACGCGAAAGCGUGGGGAGCGAACAGG